rnacentral:tRNA from 1 species
GCCAGUGUAGCAUAGUGGUUUGAGUGCUGGACUACAACUCUGGAGACCAGGGUUCAAUUCUCUGAUCUGCCA